UACGUAGGGUGCGAGCGUGUCCGGAAUUAUUGGGCGUAAAGAGCUUGUAGGCGGUUUGUCGCGUCUGCUGUGAAAAUCCGGGGCUCAACCCCGGACUUGCAGUGGGUACGGGCAGACUAGAGUGUGGUAGGGGAGACUGGAAUUCCUGGUGUAGCGGUGAAAUGCGCAGAUAUCAGGAGGAACACCGGUGGCGAAGGCGGAUCUCUGGGCCGUAACUGACGCUGAGGAGCGAAAGCAUGGGGAGCGAACAGG
rnacentral:rRNA from 1 species